rnacentral:rRNA from 1 species
AUUGAACGCUGGCGGCAUGCCUUAUACAUGCAAGUCCAACGGUAACGGGCCUUCGGGUGCCGACGAGUGGCGAACGGGUGAGUAAUGUAUCGGAACGUACCUUUCAGUGGGGGAUAACGUAGCGAAAGUUACGCUAAUACCGCAUAUUCUGUGAGCAGGAAAGCAGGGGAUCGCAAGACCUUGCGCUGAUUGAGCGGCCGAUAUCAGAUUAGCUAGUUGGUGAGGUAAAGGCUCACCAAGGCGACGAUCUGUAGCGGGUCUGAGAGGAUGAUCCGCCACACUGGAACUGAGACACGGUCCAGACUCCUACGGGAGGCAGCAGUGGGGAAUUUUGGACAAUGGGGCAACCCUGAUCCAGCCAUGCCGCGUGAGUGAAGAAGGCCUUCGGGUUGUAAAGCUCUUUCGGCCGGGAAGAAAUCGUAUGGGUUAAUACCCUGUGCGGAUGACGGUACCGGCAUAAGAAGCACCGGCUAACUACGUGCCAGCCGCCGCCGUAAAAC